GACUGACUCAAGUUCUUGAAUAUUUUAUUUAUAACGGAACAGAGUAUAAUAAUAACAUUCAUAUAUUUCUGUGCUGUUUAGUGUACUAUUUAUCACGUCUUCAUUGUUUUUUUUUUUCUCACAGCGCCUUCGAUUCAUCAGCCGUCCGACAGCAGAGUGGGGCCCAAGAAAGGAGUGGCAUCGUAACUUGGUGCCAUAUCUGAAAAACGAGACAUCCUCCUGCAGAGCUGCUUCUGCAAAGUCAUCGCCCCAAAUGAUAGAUCUCAUACACGAGAUCUAAAGGGUAAUGCGUCGUCCCGGAAGUGAGGUGCUAAAGCCCCCGGGAUAUGCGUUAGGAUUUGUCUUUUAAAUACGAAGUAUCAAAUUAACAAGUUGCUGCUUAAAAAUCAAAAUACGAACAAAAAUGCCGAAAGAACAACUUGAAUACAAGAAAACGACAACUGUCUAAAAUGCUGGGUAAAAGAAAUGGACAAAAUGUCAAUGAAGAUGGCAUGAAAAUUUAAACUGAAACGACAAUGGAUAAAAAUCCGAAGGAAAUCACAAAAACUGCAAUGAGCAAAAAUGCUAAUUUUAGAUGGCAAUGGAUAUCAACACUGAUGAAAAUUACAAUAAACAAAAGAUGCCAAUAAAAACGACAAUUGCCGAAAUUGCAUUUGAAAACGUCAUGGACAAAAAUGCCAGUGUAAACGACAACAAAUGGAAAUGUAGAUAUAAACGUCCGGCAAUAGACUAAAACGCCUGUAAAAGCGACAAUUGAAAAAAUACCAGUGAAAUAUAUUAAUGAAGAAAUAUUUCGUUUAACGGCAAUGGACAAAAUUCUGGCGAAAUUGGCAAUGGACAUAAUUGCUGAAGACAAACCUAUGGAUUAAAAUACAAAGAAAACGGCAAUAAAUAAAACACUGAUAAAAAUAUAAAUUUAAAGACAAAAAAAAAAAUAAAUAAAAUAAAAAAAAAUUAAAAAAAUGGUCAACGCUAUAGACUAAGAAUGCAGUGCACACGGCAAUAGAUAAAAGGCAGAUAAAAAUUACAAGACAAAACAAUGCUAAUUUAACGGCAAUGGACAAACAUGCAUUUUAAAAUGUCAUGAACAACAAUGCCAGUGUAAACGACAAUACACGAAAAUGCCGAUAUAACGGCAAUGGACUAUCUAAAAUGCCUGUUAAAAGCAGCAAUGGCAAAAUACCAGCAAAAUGUCAACGAAAAACAAUGCCGCUGAAAACGGCAAUGGACAACAUUUUGGCAAAAUUGGCAAUGGACAAACUGCUGAUUAAAACUAUUGACUAAAAUACAGUGGAACGCGGCAAUAGACAAAAACGCUGGUAUAAACGGCAAUGGACUAAAUGUCUGUGAAAGCAUCAAUGGACAAAAGUGCACUCGGAGAUGCCGAUGAAUGGUAGGCCCCUAAUAGACACAAUCCGGCAAAAUUCAAAAUUGACAAAAUGCUGAUAAAAAUGAAGUGAUCCUUAAAUGCGGUGAAAACAGCAAUGUGCCAGAUGCAAGAAAAAAGACAAUGGACAAAAAUGCCGUUCAAGACCGUAAUGGACAAAAAUGCUGGUCAAGACAGCAUUGCACAAAAUGCCGUUCAGGAUAGCAAUGGAAAAAUAAUGCAGGUGAAAAGGGCAAUGGACAAGACAUGAAGUUAUUAUAAUAACAAUAAGACAUGGUAUCAAGAUGGAUGCAAUUCGGACCACACCGCUAUAUGGCGACUAGGACUCCUCAUGGAAAUGAACUGGACUACAUUCACUUGAAUGAAGAACAUUCUUAUGAAUCAAAGAUAUUGGAAACACUGUGUUGCUAGUUGAAGAAGCUGUGAUGUUUUGGUUGAGAUGCUCGUCUUCCACUCUCUCAAUCAAUACAAUUCCACUACACAAGUGGCAUGAGGAGAAUUAAGAGUAGAAUAUAUUCUGUUAAUCAAUGUGUACACUCGAUUUACAUUAUUUACAGAAAAAUAAUUACAAAAUGUAAAAUUGUAAAAUAGAAGAGAAAAUAAAUAAAUAAAAAAAAUAAAUAAAUGAAUAAAAAUUAAAAUAAUAUACUUGGGAAAAUAGGCCCCUAUGUAUAGAGCCUGUAGAAAAUGAUUUUGUCAGCGGCGCCUAAAGAUAUAAAUGAAUUAAUUUUAAAGAGACAAAAAAUGGUUGUCCUGGAGAUAUAUACUAUGGAGUAUAGAAACAAUUUUGUCAGUCAUUGUACAUUUGUUAUACAGUAUUUUUAGAACAGUAUGUUUAAAAUGAAACAUACAAUAGCCAAAACAAAGCAAAAAAAAAAAAUAAAAAUAAUAAAUUCUAUGUAUUGUCAGAAGCCAAACCAGUUUCUGGUGAAGAUACUUCCAAUUAUUAUUAUGAUACCUUAAUUUUUUUGAUGUUUGUAAUCAAGCAAACGUCUAUAUGAAAUCGUGAUUAACAUUGCUUAUACGUGUAAUACGAGUGUAUAAAUUGACAUGGAAUCAAAUACUAUUUACAUAUUAUACCAUUUUUAUCACAUAAAUUGUGAAA